UGAUAAAACGCCUAGGUGAUGAGAGGAAGUAGGCACUGUGACAUAGUUAGGCUAUCAUUGACCUUCUGACAAUACGUCAGAAGGAGAACCAUCUGCUUUUCCACUGCAAUGGACCGUGAGUAAUGGAAACCGGGGAAAGUGAAACCUCAAAAAAGGGAGGACUACGAUUCUUCGGGAAAUGAACACUGAAAGCAGAUAUUGAAGACUCCCUGAUGAGACUCACAUUUGGAAUUAAAAUGAUCAGUCUGCUGCAGAUGCAGAUAUCCAUAAACAUUUGACAUUUUAAAAAAGUAAAUACAAUUACAUUA